AUUGAACGCUGGCGGCAGGCCUAACACAUGCAAGUCGAACGAGUGGCGGACGGGUGAGUAAUGUCUGGGAAACUGCCCGAAGGAGGGGGAUAAAUACUGGAAACGGUAGCUAAUACCGCAUACCAUCGGAUGUGCCCAGAUGGGAUUAGCUUGUAGGUGAGGUAACGGCUCACCUAGGCGACGAUCCCUAGCUGGUCUGAGAGGAUGACCAGCCACACUGGAACGGAGACACGGUCCAGACUCCUACGGUAGGCAGCAGUGGGGAAUAGUGCACAAUGGGCGCAAGCCUGAUGCAGCCAUGCCGCGGGUAUGAAGAAGGCCUUCGGGUUGUAAAGCACGUUCAGCGGGGAGGCGUUACCCGCAGAAGAAGCACCGGCUAACUCCGUGCCAGCAGCCGCGGUAAUAC
rnacentral:rRNA from 1 species